rnacentral:misc_RNA from 1 species
GCCGAACGAGCCAGAUAGAGCUCCAGAGAGUAGGAGGUCAUCGUCAAUGGCGACCUGCUCGGCCCCCUCCAUCCUCUCCUCAAACCCCAGGUCCCUCAUCGGCCCCUCUGCCGCCGCCCGUUCGGCUGCGCCUCUCGCCGGAACCCUAGCCUUUCCUAGGUCGUUCGGCCUCAGGGCGUCCCCUCGUUCCAGAUCUGCUCCGCUGGUCUCCGAUUCCAGAUCUGAGAGGAGUAGAUUUGUUGUUAACGCCGUCAGUGAGGGUGAGGUGCCGUUGGUUGGGAAUGUGGCUCCAGAUUUCGAGGCUGAAGCGGUUUUCGAUCAGGAGUUCAUCAAGGUUAAAUUGUCUGAUUACAUAGGGAAGAAGUAUGUGGUUCUGUUUUUCUAUCCACUGGACUUCACUUUUGUGUGCCCCACAGAGAUAACUGCUUUCAGCGACCGGUACUCAGAAUUUGAGAAGUUAAACACAGAAGUACUGGGCGUUUCAGUCGACAGUGUGUUUUCCCAUCUUGCAUGGGUCCAAACAGAUAGAAAGUCAGGUGGACUCGGAGAUCUGAACUAUCCCCUGGUAUCUGAUGUGACGAAAUCAAUUUCAAAAUCUUUUGGAGUACUGAUUCAUGAUCAGGGAAUUGCAUUGAGAGGUCUUUUCAUCAUCGACAAGGAAGGUGUUAUCCAGCACUCUACCAUUAACAAUCUUGCUAUUGGCAGGAGUGUUGAUGAGACCAUGAGAACUCUUCAGGCUUUGCAGUAUGUGCAGGACAACCCUGAUGAGGUUUGCCCAGCAGGAUGGAAGCCGGGGGAGAAGUCAAUGAAGCCAGACCCGAAGCUCAGCAAGGAAUAUUUUGCAGCUAUCUAAACUUGAAGUCGUCUUUGUAGUAGUCGGUCAUGUUCAUGUUGUGGGCUAGGACCAGUGGUUCUUGUUACCUUCAUUGUGAACUAAAUUGAGUUCUCUUCCUUUCUUGAGCGUUUUUUGUAUUUUUGUACGACUUGCGAAUAAAUUAAAUGGGAGAUCCAAACAUUUCUAAGUUUAUU